GACGGAAGGUGCAAGCGUUGCUCGGAAUUACUGGGCGUAAAGCGUGCGCAGGCGGUUUUGUAAGCCAGAUGUGAAAUCCCCGGGCUUAACCUGGGAAUGGCAUUUGGGACUGCAAGGCUUGAGUGCGGCAGAGGAGACUAGAAUUCCUGGUGUAGCAGUGAAAUGCGUAGAUAUCAGGAGGAAUACCGAUGGCGAAGGCAGGUCUCUGGGCUGACACUGACGCUCAUGCACGAAAGCGUGGGGAGCAAACAGG
rnacentral:rRNA from 1 species